rnacentral:rRNA from 1 species
UACGUAGGGGACCAGCGUUGUCCGGAUUUACUGGGCGUAAAGAGCGCGCAGGCGGUUGUUCAAGUCGGGUGUGAAAGCCCCCGGCUCAACUGGGGAGGGUCAUUCGAUACUGAUCGACUUGAAGGCAGGAGAGGGAAGUGGAAUUCCCGGUGUAGUGGUGAAAUGCGUAGAUAUCGGGAGGAACACCAGUGGCGAAGGCGACUUCCUGGCCUGUUCUUGACGCUGAGGCGCGAAAGCUAGGGGAGCAAACAGG